GUCAUUCUUUAUCCACCUAGGAAACGAAGUCGCUGCGGGCAGUUGUCUAUGCAAAAAACCGACAAUGCAUAAUCACUUAGCCCGCAUAGAAGGCUCUGAUAUAAGCAAGUAACAUUGUUCUGCUGUAGUGCUAGCAAAAAAGAGGCGAACACCAGUCAAGAACCGACUAGGAUAGCAGGAACUACACGGCCAAAGGUACAUUCGAUGGUCGGUUUGUGUCGACCGGCCAAAGACAUGGUCGCUUCAUGUGACAUUGAGGCUAAGUAGAGAAAAGCCGUUGCCCCAACAAAAGAGGCAAUUUCAGGGGGACAUCAGGACACAAAGGGCCUGCGUCUACUAAGGGGCAACAAAAUGAGCAGAGAUAAAGGCAGCAGCUGUUUGCUGCUGCUAGUGCAGCUUCACUGGCGGAGUUCAUCGACAACACGGCACGCCCUCUCUACAGCACGGUUAAGCUCUCGUCCUUGACUCUGUUCUGCUAUCAGGCAGGCGACUACAAGCGUUGUACCUUUCCCGCCCUGCCAGUGUUCAUUGAGCGACAGGCAACUGCGUAAAAGGGACAAGCCUAUCGAGCCCGCAGCGUUCGCUGGUUCAGCUUGGUUUUGCUUAGCCUUGUUCUAUCUGAUCCAGAGUGCUUCAGCCUGGCGCGCUGCUCGCUAUCGACACUGAUGACAGCGCUAACGCGGUAACAACUAUACGUCGGCUCUAUACGUGUAUAUAUACUAUACGACUACACGUGUUGCUCAAUGAAGGAUCUAUGGAAUCGCAAAACGUAGACGGAUGCCGACGGCCACGUAUAGAGAUCUAGGGUCACUCACUUCACACGCCCUGACGCUUGAAGGAAAACAAUCUUCGGAUUGAAGCUGUUCUUUCUACGCUGGUCCUUCUUUAGGGAACGUUAUCGUAUCUAGGAAGAGUCAUGUAAGGUUCAGGAAAAAGGAUCACUUGUCCUUGAUGGGCGAUUCACAGGCGGCCGAUGCUCCUAUAAGAAGGCUUAGAAUUCGCACGUGCUCAGGGUAAUUGUAUAGAUGGACGUCGAAUUGGAAACCUACUGAAGAUUAGGUUACUGUGGAGCAGGUGUUUCCGAGGGCUGAUAGAUUUCGUUCGCCUUAGUCGAUAUCAUAUCAUCGUGAAGGAGUCGAGAAGGAUAGCAUAUCAUCGUGAAGGAGUCGAGAAGGAUAGCAUAUCAUCGUGAUGUUACGAAUGCCAAUAUGACUGCACGAAAAAGGCUAUUGAGUAAUGACAUAUAUAUGAGCAUGGUACAAAUGCACGCUUCUAACAGGUCUCAGAACUGGGCUUAAGUUUAUCACUUGGAACGUGACUCGUCGAACUCGAGAAGGCGAAAGCAAAGUCCGGCGCCCAAAUUAGUAUACAUGAUCGUUUCCAGUUUAGCCGAGAUUUCCGUUAUUACUUUGCCGGUGACAGCUUUCAAGGGAAAAGGUUACCAACAGCUAGUGGUCCAAUUGAUUUUACGGGACAGAAGGAAGCGCCCUCGGUAUAUUACUCUAUGUAGACUAGUUUCAAGGCGUGGUGGACGUUGGUAAUGACAAAUGGCACUCACAUCGGGCCGUAUCAUUGGUGCCCAUUAGAUUGGUCGGAACAACGCAGGGAGAAAUACCGGAUGUCGUCGUAAAGCCGUCAAAAAUUAUCUGAUUUAUUGUGCCAUUCUGUGGUGGAUAAUAGUGCAUGGCUUGCUAUGCCAGUGAUAAUUAUACAAAUGUUCGCUAUGUAUAUAUUCGUACGUAUGUGUGGUUUUCCACCAAGCAGCAUAUGACAGCGCUUUUCUGGUGCUCGGCGUACUUGAGAGCAAGAUUGCCCAUGAGAGAUAGCAACUGCCAUGAUUGCUUAACUCCUCAUAGAAGUUAUCAGCCCCGCGUUGUAUGGCAAAGACAGCAAGUCUAGAGAACGAGAUACCCUGGGUUGUAACGGGCGUGCGUGCAUUCGUGAGGGACAUAACUUACUGCCACAGUUAGAAGCCAAUACCAUUCCGACGACCAAAUCUGUCCCUAUGACCAUGGCCACUGUGGCAGUCUUUCACUGGUGCUUUGCAGAUGCAAGUGGCAAUUCCAUGACAUGUCUGUCUGUUAGAGUGCGUGCCUGCGAGGAGACCAACGCGAGCAGUAAGUUGAAUCAAACAACCGAUUUUUGUGUGAGACCAUAAAUGGCAACAUAAAGACAAACUUCAAGAAAAAGUUGUAGCUUGGAAGUGUUUAUAUCGGAAACCCUUAAUAUACAAGGUGAAUAUAUGCACUUGUUAAACCAAUAAAUGCUGCAUUUGAUGUUUGUCGUACACGUAA